rnacentral:tRNA from 1 species
GGGGCUAUAGCUCAGUGGCAGAGCACUUGCCUAGCAUGUAUGAAGCACUGGGUUCCAUCCUUAGCAUCA